CAUGCAGUCGAGGGGUAUAGGUUUUCGGAUCUAGAGACCGGCGCACGGGUGCGUAACGCGUAUGCAAUCUACCUUUUACAGAGGGAUAGCCCAGAGAAAUUUGGAUUAAUACCUCAUAGUAUUACGACUCGGCAUCGAAAUGUAAUUAAAGUCACAACGGUAAAAGAUGAGCAUGCGUCCCAUUAGCUAGUUGGUAAGGUAACGGCUUACCAAGGCAACGAUGGGUAGGGGUCCUGAGAGGGAGAUCCCCCACACUGGUACUGAGACACGGACCAGACUCCUACGGGAGGCAGCAGUGAGGAAUAUUGGUCAAUGGGCGCAAGCCUGAACCAGCCAUGCCGCGUGCAGAAUGAAGCAUCUAUGGUGUGUAAACUACUUUUGUACGAGAAGAAACACUCCUUCGUGAAGGAGCUUGACGGUAUCGUAAGAAUAAGGACCGGCUAACUCCGUGCCAGCAGCCGCGGUAAUACGGAGGGUCCAAGCGUUAUCCGGAAUCAUUGGGUUUAAAGGGUCCGUAGGCGGUUUUGUAAGUCAGUGGUGAAAGCCCAUCGCUCAACGGUGGAACGGCCAUUGAUACUGCAAGACUUGAAUUAUUAGGAAGUAACUAGAAUAUGUAGUGUAGCGGUGAAAUGCUUAGAGAUUACAUGGAAUACCAAUUGCGAAGGCAGGUUACUACUAAUGGAUUGACGCUGAUGGACGAAAGCGUGGGGAGCGAACAGGAUUAGAUACCCUGGUAGUCCACGCCGUANACGAUGGAUACUAGCUGUUCGGAGCAAUCUGAGUGGCUAAGCGAAAGUGAUAAGUAUCCCACCUGGGGAGUACGUUCGCAAGAAUGAAACUCAAGGGAAUUGACGGGGGCCCGCACAAGCGGUGGAGCAUGUGGGUUAAUUCGAUGAUACGCGAGGAACCUUACAAGGCUUAAAUGUAGAUUGACC
rnacentral:rRNA from 1 species